AAGAAGCACUCACCGAAGGAAGAACGCUCGGUUGAAAAGAAAAAAAAAGAGAAUAGCAAAGAAAAAAAAGUCGAGCGAUUGAAAAAAAGAAACGAAGGAAAAUGAACAAACACAGUAAAAAUAAUAUUGACAUUGGCUCUGAACCCAAAACCACUUAUUUUCCAUUUUGUUUGUAUUUACCACACCAAAACCCAAGCCCCGUUACAACCCGAAAGACCUCAAAAAGUGUGUGUUGUGUGUAGGCGAUAUGAAAGGAGAAAUUAUUC
rnacentral:lncRNA from 1 species